GAUGAACGCUAGCGGCAGGCUUAACACAUGCAAGUCGAGGGGUAACAGGGAGUGCUUGCACUCCGCUGACGACCGGCGCACGGGUGCGUAACGCGUAUGCAACCUACCUUUUACAGGGGGAUAGUCAAGAGAAAUUUUGAAUAAUACCCCAUACGAUCUUAAUUACACCUGUAAUAAAGAGGAAAACUUCGGUGGUAAAAGAUGGGCAUGCGUCCUAUUAGUUUGAUGGUGAGGUAACGGCUCACCAUGACUACGAUAGGUAGGGGUCCUGAGAGGGAGAUCCCCCACACUGGUACUGAGACACGGACCAGACUCUUACGGGAGGCAGCAGUGAGGAAUAUUGGACAAUGGAGGCAACUCUGAUCCAGCCAUGCCGCGUGCAGGAAGACUGCCCUAUGGGUUGUAAACUGCUUUUAUACAGGAAGAAACACUCCCUCGUGAGGGAGCUUGACGGUACUGUACGAAUAAGGAUCGGCUAACUCCGUGCCAGCAAAG
rnacentral:rRNA from 1 species